GAAAUGGUUAGUGGCAGACGGGUGAGUAAUGCAUAGGAAUCUGCCUAGUAGUAUGGGAUAGCCACUAGAAAUGGUGGGUAAUACUGUAUACGCCCUGCGGGGGAAAGAUUUAUCGCUACUAGAUGAGCCUAUGUUAGAUUAGCUAGUUGGUAGGGUAAAGGCCUACCAAGGCAGUGAUCUAUAGCUGGUCUGAGAGGAUGAUCAGCCACACUGGAACUGAGAUACGGUCCAGACUCCUACGGGAGGCAGCAGUGGGGAAUAUUGGACAAUGGGCGCAAGCCUGAUCCAGCUAUGCCGCGUGAGUGAGGAAGGCCUUAGGGUUGUAAAACUCUUUCAGUGGGGAAGAUAAUGACGGUACCCACAGAAGAAGUCCCGGCAAACUCCGUGCCAGCAGCCGCGGUAAUACGGAGGGGGCAAGCGUUGUUCGGAAUUAUUGGGCGUAAAGGGCAUGUAGGCGG
rnacentral:rRNA from 1 species